rnacentral:rRNA from 1 species
AUUGAACGCUGGCGGCAGGCCUAACACAUGCAAGUCGAACGAGUGGCGGACGGGUGUGUAAUGUCUGGGAAACUGCCAGAUGGAGGGGGAUAAAUACUGGAAACGGUAGCUAAUACCGCAUACCAUCAGAUGUGCCCAGAUGGGAUGAGCUAGUUGGUGGGGUAACGGCUCACCAAGGCGACGCUCCCUCGCUGGUCUGAGAGGAUGACCAGCCACACUGGAACUGAGACACGGUCCAGACUCCUACGGGAGGCAGCAGUGGGGAAUAUUGCACAAUGGGCGCAAGCCUGAUACAGCCAUGCCGCGUGUAUGAAGAAGGCCUUCGGGUUGUAAAGUACUUUCAGCGGGGAGGCGUUACCCGCAGAAGAAGCACCGGCUAACUCCGUGCCAGCCGCCGCGGUAAUUC